UUUUUGUCUCCCAGUUGUUCCAGGCCUUUUGCAAACAGAUCUCCCAUCUCCACCGAUCAUGACUGUUUAACAUUGCUGGCUGGUCUGGUCGGACAUUUCCUUCCAUAGACCGGACCAAUGAGAUUAGCUCCGGGUGGGAAUAAUUGCAGACUUCUUGGAUGAGACUAUAAAAGACCGUAAUUAUAUACUUGGAACAGCCUCUACCCAUCAAUGACACGGCCUCUGCAUACAAAUAACUCCGGCAGGCCGUUAUUUAUGUGAAUUUUUUUUUUUAAUUUUUUUUAAACGCAAAGAUUUGCAGACUUUCUUGCUCAUCAUCAGCCCAGCCCAGCCAGCUCCUUUGCUCAGAUAUCUGGACGUCCUUUAGAUAUUUUCAGAUUUGAAUAAUUUCUUAAUGUCACUGGCAGUUGAAAUCCACCCAGCAGUGUCUGAAAAAUUCUGUUCUCCUGCAAAAGAAGUUGCUGGGUUUUCUUUCUUUCUUUCUUUCUUUCUUUCUUUCUUUCUUUCUUUCUUUCUUUCUUUCUUUCUUUCUUCCUUCCUUCCUUCCUUCCUUCCUUCCUUCCUUCCUUCCUUCCUUUCUUUCUUUCUUUCUUUUUCUUUCUUUCUGAGAUGCUUGGGAACUUUUUCACCUUUCUCUUUGUAGUGUCUUUCAGCUUCCUUCCCCCUUGCAGGGUAGCCGGGGACGAUGGUUUCCUCCUGCACUCUCAAAACUUACCGGUGCUCGUAAUUCCCGAUCGGAAAAAGGCUCCCGCAACGACUGGAAACCUUUCCUUCGGGUUUUGAGCAAGGAAGCAUGGAGGCUGCAGGCCCCUCGAGAGAAGGUCGCGCAGUUGAAAGGGAGGCCGCAGUUGAAAGGGAGGCCAUUUGAGAUCCUGAAGAUGGAGGAGAUAACGCAAAUAGGAAUGCCAAUCAUCUCACUUUAGACCUACAAUGUGGUUUAUGGAAAUCUGCACUUCUAUACCAUUCCCUGCUGCAGAUCCUUUGCCCCCUGGAGAAGCUAGUUAAACCUGCCAGCAACCUGACUGGGUUGGCAGAAGCUGGGACAAGUGACAGGAGCUCACCCCGUUACGCGGCGCUAGGGAUUCGAACCACCGAAUCGCCUGUACCUUUCGAUUGACGAGCUUAGCCACUGAGCCACCACGUUCCAACCUGACUGGGUAGGUUGACAGUUUUUUUAAUGGACUCUCCUUUGAAAGAUCCCCGUAAAAUUUGAAAAUAGGCAAAUCCCAGUUCCUGUUCAGUCACAAAGGAACAUCAGUCUGCCCAGAUCUGGCACGUGCCUGUUAGCCAGGCCUCGGUUUCCCCAUUUCCUUCCUUUUGAAAGACUCCUGAGCAGCCAAACAGGUUCGGGGGAAUUAUUGAAACCUAGGAAAACGUUUUAUUACCUCGUAUUUUUCCAUUGCGUUUCAGCGAGCUUCCCGCCCUCCUGUCCGCCCCAGCCCACACUCAGAUCUGUGCCGCUCUCUUGAAAAGCGCAACCAGAUAUAAAAUACACAGUUCUGGGGCUGAGAAAAUCUUAAAAUAACAGCCACAUACUUUCCGAAACACACAAGCACGGGGCCCUUUCCCCGCACCAUCUUUUCAAAAACAGAGAGGCAGAAACAAAAGGUGUCAUUUUAAGGGAAAUGAAAGAGCACUUCUCAAGGGACAUUUUUUCAGCAGUUCCGACGUGCUUUUUAAAAAACGUAUUGGCCUGUUUUGUAGCUCGUGUGAAAGGUAAUGUUUAGCCCAGGGGUCUGCAAACUUGGCUCCUU